ACUGCUGCUGCCGCCGGCGUAACCGCCGCCGCCUCCGUAACCUCCGCCUCCGCUGUAACCUCCAGAGCCCCGGGCACCUCCGCCGAUGCCUCUGGAUGGUGAGGUUGAGUUCGGAGAUCUCCGUCCUGCUGGUCUUCAGCUCGUCUCCAUGUCUUCCCGCUGUGAUCUGGAGCUCCUGGUACUGAGGGUCAAGGGCAGCAUCAUGGUCAGCCUGCUGCUCAUCACACACUUCUCCAGGAAAGAGCCAUCGACAAAACCGGGGCUCAAUGACUGUUACAGAGGAAGCAGAGAGGGGUGCCUCUGAAGAAAACAAGGGAGAGCAUGGGCUCAAGUGCAUCUCUGCAUUCUGAAGUCUUCACUGUUGACCAUAUGUCUCCCCCGUCUGGCACUCAGAACACCUGCCUACAGGACAGUGGGAUAGAGGCCAGCCACGAUUGGAGUUGGUCACAGGUAAUCCACAAAGCAAAUCUCCAACGCCAGGUGUUCAGAAUUUAGUGACCGGCCUUUGACUCUUAACUGCAGUGUUCGCCCUCCAGAAAGUUCCGAGUCCAUUUAUGUUAAACAAGUCACCGAAGAUGUGCCCCAAAAUUUAGCUACAAAGAUGUUUAUCUGAAAACUGGAGACAUAUUCUUACCAUGAAAUACCACACUGCUCUUAAAAAUGAUGUCAAAUAGUUAAUGUCAGAGAAAGGUAUUCACAAGUAAUAAAUGAAAGAGAAAAAUAUAAAAAGAUAUUUUUAAAGAUAUAAUUAUGAAAAAAAUAAGAAAACAUCAUGGUGGCUGACAGCAUGGAUGUGUAGAUGGUAUACCUGAAUUUAAUUAAGUUCUGCCUCUGCUACUUCCAAACCAUAAGAGCCAAGGGAAAUUGGUAACCUCAUACUCUGGUAUUGGUAAAACAAUAAAAGAAUCUUUACCUCAUAGCGUUGUUGUAAGGAGUAAAUGAAAUUCUAUGUAUAACAGGA